rnacentral:lncRNA from 1 species
GGACCCCCAUUUGGACCAACUUGAAAACUAGGCCAAUAAUUAAAAAUCUAAGUACAUUUUUAAAUUCAGCAUAUCAAAGAACCCCAAGGAUUCAAUUUUUGUUAAAAUCAAACUAAGUUUAAUUUUGGACCCUUUGGACCUUAAUGUAGACCAAUUUGAAAACGGUACCAAAAAUUAAGAAUCUACAUACAUAGUUAGAUUCGGCAUAUCAAAGAACCCCAAUUAUUAAAUUU